GUUCCACCUGCACAACUGCCACGUUUCCCGUCACCAACUUCCUGACCAUUCACUAGUGACAUGCCAAGCCUCAGCUCCAAAUUGUUCAGCCUCUCUAUCACCUCACAUAACCUGUUCAAUGGGCCUUGAACAGGUACUACUUAGGUUUAUCAUUUUGUGACUAUCAUGAUGAGAUAUAUGAGGAUUGCUGCUCCAUGCAAGGUCAUUGGUACUCUAGCAUGUCAAGGAUUUUUUUUUUUUCUAAUAAACAUAUGGGCUUAUGUUUGGGUUGAUGCAAUAUUGUUGUUGAUUGCAGGAAAUGAUUAGCCAAAUACAACCUGGAAAAUUAUAAGCCAAGAUUUCCCAGCUGUAAGAUGGGAAACUUGGGACAUGAGUCUUCAGCUUAACACAAUACUAGAUGGGAAUGGGAAGAGUAUACAAGUGGAGUAGAGCCUCUUGCGAAGAAAUGGCCAUCAUCUCGAUGUACCCCGAAUGAACAGGAGAGAGAAGCCGUUUUGCUCCUUGUCAAGAGCAACAUGGUUAUCAUCUUGGCAUGGAGAGAAGGAAGUCAUGUUUAUCUCCCUCGGGAGACAACAAGAUGGCAGUGAAGAUACAGCAAGCUUGUUUUGGGAUAGUCGUAAUCAUCAAAGCAAAUCCACCAUGAGAAGCUUGUCCUGAGGUUGAGCUUGUUCUGUUCUUGUCACUUGAGAUUCCUGGUGGAGUUCCCUACACUUCUCUUUGUGGCUGUCUCUUUCCACCAAACCAACAACAGCUCAGUUCUUGACAAUCUAAUUGAGUGACAAAUCUUCCAUGGAUGAAUUAUUUUACCAAGUCAUGAGUUGAGAAUAAAUGGAAAUAGAAGACUGUAAUAUAUUGAAUGUGUUGUUAAAUAGCUUUAUGUGCAAUCAAGAGGUCUGGAUUUUGAGUUCUAUUGUUGACCUCCAAAAUCAGCAUGAGGUGCAGCCCCAUUUCUCAUUUAGAUAAAACUGAGAAUUUGUAUAGCAUUAGAGGUCCUUAAAAGUUGUCACUUAAUAGU